rnacentral:tRNA from 6 species
CCGGGUGUAGCGCAGUUGGUAGCGCGCAUGGUUCGGGACCAUGAGGCCGUGGGUUCAAAUCCCGCCACUCGGACCA